rnacentral:lncRNA from 1 species
AAUAAUUCAUAACUGGAUAGGCUUGGGUUAAAAUGUCCUCAGGAAGUCAGGAUGUUUUGAACAGAUGUUUCGACAUCGAUCCUAAGGAUGCACCAAUAUUUAGCUUCAAGAAACAAAAAAGGAAGAUGAAUUCAAAGAACGAAAGUUGGGUAUUUAGAUGUCAACUUAUCAAAUCAUUUCCAUACUUGUUCCUGCCAGAUUGCAUUCCUUUAUUAAUGGUCAUUACCUUCCAUGAGAGCAGCAUCAAAUUGAAUAUCUGACUAAUUUCUUCGGCAGCCAUGAGAGUAGCAUCCAGAAGAACACUGAUAAUUCUUAGAUCCCAAGGGAGGGAAACUCGCUAUUUCAAUACCCAACCAUAUUAAUGGAGUAAUUUUAUUAUUAUUAUUAUUUUGUUAAUAUUAGUUUGUACGUACAUGUUAUAUUGUGGGCAUUUUUUUUUUUAAAUAUAACAAAAAUAUUCGGAUCUUAGAAAUUUUUAUGGCAUUAACACUAGACCAAGAAUUAC